rnacentral:rRNA from 1 species
CGGCGGACGGGUGAGUAAUGCCUAGGAAUCUGCCUGGUAGUGGGGGACAACGUUUCGAAAGGAACGCUAAUACCGCAUACGUCCUACGGGAGAAAGCAGGGGACCUUCGGGCCUUGCGCUAUCAGAUGAGCCUAGGUCGGAUUAGCUAGUUGGCGGGGUAAAGGCCCACCAAGGCGACGAUCCGUAGCUGGUCUGAGAGGAUGAUCAGCCACACUGGAACUGAGACACGGUCCAGACUCCUACGGGAGGCAGCAGGC